rnacentral:rRNA from 1 species
GACGAACGCUGGCGGCGUGCUUAACACAUGCAAGUCGAACGGUAAGGCCCUUCGGGGUACACGAGUGGCGAACGGGUGAGUAACACGUGGGUGAUCUGCCCUGCACUUCGGGAUAAGCCUGGGAAACUGGGUCUAAUACCGGAUAGGGCCACUGCCUGCAUGGGUGGUGGUGGAAAGCUUUUGUGGUGUGGGAUGGGCCCGCGGCCUAUCAGCUUGUUGGUGGGGUGAUGGCCUACCAAGGCGACGACGGGUAGCCGGCCUGAGAGGGUGACCGGCCACACUGGGACUGAGAUACGGCCCAGACUCCUGCGGGAGGCUGCAGUGGGGAAUAUUGCACAAUGGGCGCAAGCCUGAUGCAGCGACGCCGCGUGAGGGAUGACGGCCUUCGGGUUGUAAACCUCUUUCAGCACCGACGAAGCGCAAGUGACGGUAGGUGCAGAAGAAGGACCGGCCAACUACGUGCCAGCCGCCGCAGUAA